rnacentral:rRNA from 1 species
UACGGAGGGUGCAAGCGUUAUCCGGAUUCACUGGGUUUAAAGGGUGCGUAGGUGGAUUAAUAAGUCAGUGGUGAAAUCCCCAGGCUUAACUUGGGAACUGCCAUUGAUACUAUUAGUCUUGAAUGUCGUGGAGGUUAGCGGAAUAUGUCAUGUAGCGGUGAAAUGCUUAGAUAUGACAUAGAACACCAAUUGCGAAGGCAGCUAACUACACGAAUAUUGACACUCAGGCACGAAAGCGUGGGGAUCAAAC